rnacentral:lncRNA from 1 species
AACGUUACAUAACAAUGCAACAUAAUCUGAUAAUCCUACUUACUUUUAAUCAUUUAGUUCCCGCUAGUUUUUCUGAAUGAAAAUCAUAUAUAUAGUUCCCCAGUUUCAACGCAUUGAAGACGAAAGAGUGUGUGCAUAUAUAAUCCUUAUAAAAUUUGACAGCACUAUGUCUUAUGACUUGUCAGCUAGUGAGUCCAUUUCGCAACGGUUGCAGAUUAAAAGCCAUACCACCUUAAACAACCGUAAUCAUAGACACAGAUGGCUAAAGAAAAACCAGUAAACAGUUCCGAACAAUGUGCCCCAAUCAUAAAAUUAUCAUUAUCAUCACUGUGGAAUUGCCAUUAUGUUAAUGGCACAAAGCUACGUGAUUUACAGAAUGCAAACAGUCAUAUACCAGAAAAAACCCCUUCCCCAAAUUAAUUCUAAAUCCUUCUCUAGAGGAGCCUCAGAUCAACUCUAAUAGUUUAGUGAUUUCAUCUGCCGGCCUCAACAUAAUUAAUGCUUGCACACUGAAACGUAGGCACUCGAGCAGGAGAACCACAAAACAGAUUCUUCUGAAAUGGAAAAUGUUGAACUCGUUAAGGCUUUUGCUUUUUCUCAAUGUCAUAUAGCGCGCACACAUCUGCUGCUGUCUUCAUCUGAAACCAC